UACGAAGGGUGCUAGCGUUGUUCGGAAUCACUGGGCGUAAAGCGCGCGUAGGCGGCGUUUCAAGUCAGGGGUGAAAUCCUUGGGCUCAACCCAAGAAUUGCCUUUGAAACUGUAACGCUGGAGUGUCGGAGGGGAUAGCGGAAUUGCUAAUGUAGAGGUGAAAUUCGUAGAUAUUAGCAGGAACACCGGUGGCGAAGGCGGCUAUCUGGACGACAACUGACGCUGAGGCGCGAAAGCGUGGGGAGCAAACAGG
rnacentral:rRNA from 1 species